rnacentral:tRNA from 1 species
GGGCCCGUAGCUCAGGGGAUAGAGCAACGGUUUCCGGGGCCGUGUGUCGCAGGUUCGAAUCCUGCCGGGCCCGCCC